rnacentral:rRNA from 1 species
UGGGGAAUUUUGGACAAUGGGCGCAAGCCUGAUCCAGCAAUGCCGCGUGCAGGAUGAAGGCCUUCGGGUUGUAAACCGCUUUUGUCAGGGAAGAAACGAGCUUCUCUAAUACAGAGACUUAAUGACGGUACCUGAAGAAUAAGCAUCGGCUAACUUCGUGCCAGCAGCCGCGGUAAUACGUAGGGUGCGAGCGUUAAUCGGAAUUACUGGGCGUAAAGCGUGCGCAGGCGGUUAUAUAAGACAGAUGUGAAAUCCCCGGGCUCAACCUGGGACCUGCAUUUGUGACUGUAUAGCUAGAGUACGGUAGAGGGGGAUGGAAUUCCGCGUGUAGCAGUGAAAUGCGUAGAUAUGCGGAGGAACACCGAUGGCGAAGGCAAUCCCCUGGACCUGUACUGACGCUCAUGCACGAAAGCGUGGGGAGCAAACA